rnacentral:tRNA from 1 species
GGGCCUGUAGCUCAGCCUGGUAGAGCACCGCGUUUACACCGCGGGUGUCGUCGGUUCGAACCCGGCCGGGCCCACCA